UGCGAAUGCCGGUUAGAUGUGCGUGGUAAUGCGGAGGGGGGAAGGCGUAUGCGGUGUUACGGGCGUUAACGUUGGGUGAGGGUGUUGUAGUAGUCAGUGGUGAAAUCUUUCGGGGCAACCGUAAAAGUGCGGUUGGUACUAUAUAGCUUGAAGACGGUGGUGGUGUGCGGAAUAGGUCAUGUAGCGGUGAAAUGCAUAGAUAUGCCCGUGAACACCUAGUGCGAAGGCAGCAGGCUACGCAGUUAUUGACGCUCAUGCACGAAAUCGUGGGUAGCGAACAGGAUUAGAUACCCUAGUAGUC
rnacentral:rRNA from 1 species